UGAUCCUGGGAGCCGGGCUCGGCGUUGAGGCUCCCUUGCCACUGCGCAGGCGCGGGGUCGUCUUGCAGGCGUUCCCUUGCGGUUGAGAAACACGCCCUGGCAUCCUGGCCUUAAAGCUCCUCGGGAGUGCCUUGUGAAUCCGGAUACCCUUCUUCGCAGCCCAACGACCGGGGCAGGAGUUAUCCUUGGAAUGACACGUUCAUAAUUGUAAGAUAAGGAAAUUGAGAUUCUGAGAGGUGACAUGACUAGCCCAACAAGUAUUACAACUUCGGUGCCGGCUGUCAGUUCGCUCUCUCAUCUGCUGAUUCAGAGAUCUGUGUCUUCACGUCGCUGUUCCCUCUCCACCAGGGUCCCACCCACCUUUCUUGGCCUGGUUGUCCGUGACUCAUUCAACACUCACACAACAUCUACAGUGCUUUCUGAAACACCACGUUGGCCUCCACAGCAACCUCUGGAUCAGUCUCUCUUAGCAAGGGCCUAGUCUCAGGCAGCUUUGUGGUGGUGGUUGUCGUUGUUUAGAUUUGACUUUUAUGUCAUCUCUUCAUCUCUGUCACCAGUAUGGGGCUGGAACUGACAACGCCAAAAUCAGGAGUUGCACUCUACCAACUGAGCCAGCCAGGCACCCCAAGAAGCUUUGUAUUCUCAGAGAUCAGCACUUUGCUGAGCACCAAGGAGGCACUUGGUCUAUUGACUUAUUAUUGAUUAUUGGUCCAGCAUGAUACCACUGAUUAGGGUUUUAUUUAGCACCUACUAUGCUGAGUAUAAAUAGCACAACGAAAGUAAAUAGGAAACACACAACAAUACCUUAAUAGAAAAAUGAGUAAUAAUAACUCACAAUAAUGAGUGGAUAAUAACUCACAAUAAACUUUUUUUUUUAAAUCACA